rnacentral:rRNA from 1 species
UCGAGGGGUAUAGUUCUUCGGAACUAGAGACCGGCGCACGGGUGCGUAACGCGUAUGCAAUCUACCUUUUACAGAGGGAUAGCCCAGAGAAAUUUGGAUUAAUACCUCAUAGUAUAUAGCCCUGGCAUCAGGAUUAUAUUAAAGUCACAACGGUGAAAGAUGAGCAUGCGUCCCAUUAGCUAGUUGGUAAGGUAACGGCUUACCAAGGCGACGAUGGGUAGGGGUCCUGAGAGGGAGAUCCCCCACACUGGUACUGAGACACGGACCAGACUCCUACGGGAGGCAGCAGUGAGGAAUAUUGGACAAUGGGGGCAACCCUGAUCCAGCCAUGCCGCGUGCAGGAUGACGGUCCUAUGGAUUGUAAACUGCUUUUAUACGGGAAGAAACCACCCCUCGUGAGGGGUAUUGACGGUACCGUAGGAAUAAGGAUCGGCUAACUCCGUGCCAGCAGCCGCGGUAAUACGGAGGAUCCAAGCGUUAUCCGGAAUCAUUGGGUUUAAAGGGUCCGUAGGCGGUCUUGUAAGUCAGUGGUGAAAGCCCAUCGCUCAACGGUGGAACGGCCAUUGAUACUGCAGGACUUGAAUUAUUGGGAAGUAACUAGAAUAUGUAGUGUAGCGGUGAAAUGCUUAGAGAUUACAUGGAAUACCAACUGCGAAGGCAGGUUACUACCAAUUUAUUGACG